rnacentral:misc_RNA from 1 species
CUCUCGUAGCAAGGACAAUGCAGUCUCAGCUCGAUUGCAUUUUGUAACUUCAUAAAGGCAGGUCCUGAGCAUCUUCUCCAAGAUCAUGAGACACGUUGGAUCAUCAUCAACAACCAAGACCCUUAGCCCUGCCGGAAACUGACCGGGAACAACGUCCCCAGCUUUCCAAGCUGCACUAGAGCUGGCCGUUGACAUCGAUCCCUUUCCGUUGUUAAGAUUCAUAUUUGAAAAAACGUAUGAUCCGAAAGCAAGAAAACAAGAAGAAAC